UUCUGUGAAGUUUAUUUCCCAUCUUUCUUCUGGGCUGCAUGCCUGGAGGUGACCAACCAAAGCUUCACCGAGGGCACGGGGCAAGAAAAUUUUGGAAUCCGGGAGAAUCCACCAACCAUCCCAGGUUUUACUAGCCUGAAGAUUUGACACUUGCUUUUUUUUCUUUUGGAGAGUAGACUGGAUGAUCAGUCCUCAGCCCACUCUUCAAUCAAUCAAAUCGGUGAAGAUUUAUGGAACACCUGCCAUGAGCCAGGCACUGCUUUAGAAGCUGGAGACAUAGAACUGAACAAGAGCAACAAAAUCUCUGGUCUCAUGGAACUUUUAUUGAACUUUAUUUCAAUAAAGAUACCAAUAAAGAAGA